rnacentral:rRNA from 1 species
CGAGGGUGAGAGACCUGUCGCGAAAGUCCAAGGUUCCUGCUUAAAGCUAAUCUGAGCAGGGUAAGCCGGCCCCUAAGGCGAGGCCGAAAGGCGUAGUCGAUGGGAACCAGGUUAAUAUUCCUGGGCCAGGAGAUGGUGACGGAUCGCAGGUGUAGUUCCUCCUUAUCGGAUUGGAGGGGCUGCUGAGCGGUUCCUGGAAAUAGCCCUCCACAAGACCGUACCCUAAACCGACACAGGUGGACUGGUAGAGAAUACCAAGGCGCUUGAGAGAACCACAUUUAAGGAACUCGGCAAAAUACCUCCGUAAGUUCGCGAGAAGGAGGCCCGGUUGCUGCGCAAGCAGUGGCUGGGGGCACAAACCAGGGGGUGGCGACUGUUUACUAAAAACACAGGGCUCUGCGAAGCCGUAAGGCGACGUAUAGGGUCUGACGCCUGCCCGGUGCCGGAAGGUUAAAAGGAGAUGUGCAAGCAUUGAAUUGAAGCCCCGGUAAACGGCG